GAUGAAGAACGCAGCGAAAUGCGAUAAGUAAUGUGAAUUGCAGAAUUCAGUGAAUCAUCGAAUCCUUGAACGCACAUUGCGCCCCUUGGUAUUCCGAGGGGCAUGCCUGUUCGAGCGUCAUUAUAACCCUCAAGCUCAGCUUGGUGUUGGGGCCUGCUGCAGUGGCAGCCCUUAAAAUCAGUGGCGGCGCCAUCUGGCUCUAAGCGUAGUAAUUCUUCUCGCUAUGGAGUCCUGGUGGAUGCUUGCCAUCAACCCCCAAUUUUUCUAUGGUUGACCUCGGAUCAGGUAGGGAUACCCGCUGAACUUAAGCAUAUCAAUAGCGGAGGA
rnacentral:misc_RNA from 1 species